GACGAACGCUGGCGGCGUGCCUAACACAUGCAAGUCGAACGGAAAGGCCCUGCUUGCUUGGGGGGCUGGAGCGGCGAACGGGGGGGUAGCACGUGAGUAAACGGCCCGUGAACCUGGGAUAUAAUCAGGAAACUGGGCGUAAUACCGGAGAGGAGAUCCUGCUGCAAGGUGGGUGCUGGAGAGUUUAGGCGGUUGGGGAUGGACUGGCGGGUUAUCAGCAGGUUGGUGGGGUAGUGGCUUACCAAGUCUUGGACGGGUAGCCCGCCUGAGAGGGUGACCGGCCACCUUGGGACUGAGAGACGGCCCAGACUCCUACGGGCGGCAGCAGUGGGGAAUAUUGCACAAUGAGCGCAAGCCUGAUGCAGCAACGCCGCGUGCGGGAUGACGGCCUUCGGGUUGUAAACCGCUUUCGCCUGUGACGAAGCGUGAGUGACGGUAAUGGGUAAAGAAGCACCGGCUAACUACGUG
rnacentral:rRNA from 1 species